UACGUAGGGUGCAAGCGUUAAUCGGAAUCACUGGGCGUAAAGCGCGCGCAGGCGGUCAUCUACGUCUGGGGUGAAAGCCCGGAGCUCAACUCCGGGAUUGCCUUGGAUACGGGAUGACUUGAGGAUCGGAGAGGCAAGGGGAAUUCCACGUGUAGCGGUGAAAUGCGUAGAGAUGUGGAGGAACACCUGUGGCGAAGGCGGGUCUCUGGACAGUUCCUGACGCUGAGGCACGAAGGUCAGGGGAGCAAACGGG
rnacentral:rRNA from 1 species